AAUUCUCAACCUUCUCAGUUUUGGGAGGGCUUGGACUUUGGAGGUUUUUGCUGGCACCUCUCGGGAGCCGGCUCCUCUCAAAUGAAUUAGCAGGGUUCUUCAGCCGACCCCCUCGACGUGAUAAGAUUUUCUACGUCCGAGGUUUGGAACGGAGACCUGCUUCUAAUCGUCUCUCUAUGAGAUGUUAUUUGAACC
rnacentral:misc_RNA from 1 species